GGGGCGGAGCCCUGGGGCGGGGCCAGCCUCGGGCCAGCCCCUGUAAGGCGGGGCGUCUACUAGUGUUUGACUGGCGGAGGCCAUAGCCAAUCGUCAGGGCACCAGGAUCCUUGGAGGCCGUAGGAGGUGCCUAGAGCGUAGUCCCGCCCCUCACUCAAUGUCCAAUCGCUUGCGGCUGAGCGUUGGCCCGGAGACGCUCUAGCUGCCCGCAAGUUGGCAGUUGUGAAGUGCGGUGGUGGUGGUAAGUGUAGUGGUGGUGGCGACGGCGUCGUCUGGGGAGGCUCCUGCAUGGUCUGAUGCUGUGUGACCCGAACGCCCCGGGAACGAGGCUGCGGCCAGGGAAGGCUCUUGCUGACAGACCGUAGGAGUUCCCAGAACCAUCGCGAAUGGGCACGCUGCGGGAAAACAACCCUCACAUCUGACACCAACAGGAGGCAAGGAACUUAGCCCUAAAGGCGCCCUAGUCAUGGGAGGACUCUGAGUACUCAAACAGACUGAGUCUCACAGGUCCAGCUACACUGGAGACGGUUCGGUUCUAAGCUCGUUCUGGCGGUUGUCUCCGAAACAAGGACUCUGGCUCAGCCAACCUCUGGGAAAGUACAAAGCAAGACUCUCCUUUUCCUUCCACACCGCCAGGGACAUUUUAACAAAAGCCUGGUUCUUCCCAUGCCCAAAGGCGCCCCAUGCAUUUCCUAUUCUCCACAAUGGGUUCUGCUGCUGUCUGCUGGCUCCUCCAGGAAUAUCGAGAAGCCAAACCAUCCAGUCUUCUUGGACAGAAAACCGCAGCAGUGCAAGCAAGCCACAUCCAUCGGACUCUGCAUUCCCCACUUUACCCUUUGGAAAACCUUGAUUAGGCUGAUGGUGUGAAGCUGCCCAUAGUUGGUUCUGAUGAGGUCACCAGGGAGAAGGAAGGUAAAAGGCCAGCUUUCAUCUGGCAAGAAACGAAACAGCACCAGCAGCAGAGAAAGCUGCGACUCAGGAACACAAAGAACUGCGCUCAUAAUAUCAAAGAAGCACAAUUGGGUCACCUUUGUCACAGACUGGAAGAAAGUAGAAAAAGCAUAAACUGGAUUUAGAAUGUGCGUAAAGAAAAUCCUGAAGCCUAACAAUAAAGACGGUGACUCCUGCUGCUUCAAGUCCAGUGCUACUCAGAGGAUCGGCUCCCCUAAAAGAGAAAGGGAGACUGGCCUUCCAACACAACGCAGGCAGACUUCAUUGGUCUUUAUGGCAGAAUCAAAUACAACAUGGGGGGAGGACUGAUUGGACCAGUUCAGCCUUCCUUGAAGCACGGUAGAGAAGAUAAGUUAACUUUAUAGUGUUUCCCUGAGAAGCACUGAAGGGCACACCAUGAAAGCAACUGAUUAUAGCACAGGAAGAUGCUAUGGUUGUUUGAGCCUUUAUUAAGGAUUAGUCAUUUCAGCAUGACGAGCUGCCCAGGCUAUGGCUGCACAUCACUUAUGUAGGGCUCCUGGAUCUUUCAAACACUGUAUGCAUCUGAUUAGGAGGGAAACAACAUUGUUCUCGCUUGAGUAGAGAAACUGACCUUCACUGACCAGAAUUUUAUUCAUACAAAGAGGCCUUUGGCACACCAAAGCUCUAAGCUCACAUAAUCAUUCAUCAGCAAGCUGCAGUGUUAGUUCAUGUGCAAAAUCAAGAAGUCUAUCUAAGCCCAGGUACCACCUUGGUUAUUAACAGAUAACACUGGAGCUUCUGCACAAGACUAUAAUGUAAAUUUAAUGCUGAGCUGACAUUAACCAAAUACUAUUAUCAUAGCUCUUGCUGAACCUAUGUUCUAUAGAGAGCUAGCUUCAAGGCUUCUGUUUAGUCAUUUGUGCCAUGUGAGACGUUAAAUGCUCCACUUCAUAUGCAUUACCAUCUUGGUAUAGCAUUUCUAUUUUUACCCAAAUGAAAAGAAACACACACCCUUCUUUUAGGAACAAACCCCAUAUUUUGGGGGCUAUGUAAUCAGGUGAGGUUGCUGAGGUGGUGACUUGGGUCACUGGGUUCUACAUAGCCUAUUAGGGACAAAUGAUGCCCCAGCACUCAUCUUUGAGUCUGCAACCAGCUGUAUUUGAAUCUUAAUCGCUUCUGAAUAAAUUGGAAUGGAACUUAAGAUCUUGGAUACAGGACACAUUUACUCACGGCUUCCUUGGCUCCCCUUAGA
rnacentral:lncRNA from 1 species